CCUCCCUCCCCCUAGGAACACCAGAAACAGAGGCUGGGCUGUUAUCAGGAGAGGACUUCACACUGUAGGAGCCAGCCAUGAUAAGCUAAAUAUGAACAGAUCACCCAAAGGAAGUUCUUUACUUCCAACCAUUAUCACCUGCCAGUGUAGGACUCAGCCAUUGAUAAGUUUAACGGAGGCCUGAGUCUCAGUAGUUUACCCUGAAGCAAUACCUGGUUGCAGGAAGGACCAUAAACCUAGAUUACCUGAGCACCACCCAAGAACAGACCAUCCAAAGGAAAUGCCUAACAUUCCAACCGCGGCAGAUAGGAUCACCUGCCAGCACACACUCACCAGGACCAGCGUAGACAAAUGUCAGCCAAUUAGGGGUCCUGAACCUCAAAAAAACCCUCACCCCCAUCUUUACUACUAUAAAACCCAAUUCUAACUGAGCUCGGGGCUCUCCGUUUAUUCCAAUACAUUGGACAUGCAGAAAGACCGAGUUUGCAAAUUUGCAUAAAGUAAAGGCUCUUUGCUUUUACAUAUGGGACUCAGUCUCCUUGUUGGCUUUUGGGGGACUUCGCGGAUUUGGACAUAACACACACAGGCCUUUUAAGGAACUGAAAUUGUGUGUCCUGCGGGUGACGUUCAUGGGCAAUGGCCAGCCAGCUAGUGAGAACAUGUCCUGUGGGCGGGUGGGCUGAAAAUUGACAUUCUCUCUUAGGUGUAAGGGGAAGUCAGGGCAGGAAGUGCAGCAAGCUGUGAUAAACAGCCCUCGGGGUUUGAGCUUUACGGCAGUAGGAUUUGGAAUAGCUCAGAAGAGGAAAUAAAAAAACCCGGACCAGAGGAGAGAGUGCACAGAGAGGAGAGAGAUGGCAGAAAGACUCUGUUUGGAGAUACUUUGUUACCAGAAUAGUAAGAAUGUGGCAAUGGAACUAGAGCUGAGAGUCAAGGGAAAGGAAGAUAGCAAGAAUGAACAAAGAUUUGUCCAAUGAGAGGAUGCUGACACAGCAAAGAGGCAGGGCAGGUCCACAAGGAGGAAGCUACUCUUCUUGGUCCUUCCAUAUCACAGGACUCCAACAGUCCAAAGUACACCUGUCCGGUUUUCUGGAGCUAGAACAAGAUAAAGCCAGAGAGUCCCCAGGCGCUGUAGGAAGACUUGGCUAACACAGGAAGAAGUCCAAAGAACCUGAACAUCCGGAGGUGAGGAAGAGGCAGAGAGGAAAGCAGGUCCCCACAGGCAAGAGAGAGCAUGACGCCUUCUCUUCCCUUUAAAGGGAAGCAGUGCUUUAAAAUGAUCAAUCCUGGACCCUUCUCAAGGAUUCCCAAGUGACAUACUGCCAAAGAACCCCUACAUAGAAUGAAGCCCCACUCCCAGAAGGCAUUAAGGAGGAAGUAGCCAUCUUCAGAGACUGCUAGGACCCGGCACGUUUGGGCCAGCAGGAGUCUUGAGGAACUUGGAUCGUGAGCACUGUGGAAUAUACAGCUGCGUGGGGCAAGUUCAUUGAUGGGCGCGCCCUGUCCUGUGGCUUCGGACCCAGCUCCUAUCGAGGGCAUCUGCAGAUAGCUUAUGCUUCUGGCACAGCUGUCCAGAGGUUGGGCUCUCAUCAGAUAAGGCAGGCAUGCUGGAAUUGCCGGGGCAGAGCAUUGAGGAGGUAGAAAUUCUAGACUGGAUUAUUGGGGGGGUCCACAGAGCCCCCCACUUGAUCACGUUUCCUCUGAAGUAAAACCCAGUAAAUGCUUUCACUACUAGAGCACCACAAACAGCAAGGACGGUGUUGGCUUGGAGGUUUAUCUAUGGCUGCUUUGGGUGGGGUGAGUGGAAAGGGUUGCCUUCAUUGUAUUGAAGUUGCUACCAUGGGAAUUAGUUUCUCUGCUUCCAGUGGGAACAAGAUUCCAGAGCGGCCAACACCUAGUGCCCAGAGUGGCCAGAAUACCUCACUUCAUCAGGCUCUGAGCCGACCCACACAAUGCCCCAUCAUGGAGUCCUGUUGGGAUGGGGGGGCAGGCUAAUGUGUCAUUGAUUUGCAUUAGUGGGAAAAAUUGACAGAUGACAAAGCUGGUGUUGGCUUUUAGGGUGGGAAAUUGAAGUUCUUCAUGCAACUCACAAAUGAGAAUAACUCUGAGGAAGGACCCUGUGAUGCCACCGCAGGCAUUCCCAAAGGGAUCUGUGACCAAUUGCAAGUAGACCCACGAAGUGAUCAGGUCUGAGGUCUGAGCACUGAUAUCUCUACCCAAUGUGUUCUCAGAGCCCCAGGUUGCAGUACUGACUCACAGAGGGCUGGGCAGAUCCAUGGAGCCAUGCUUGAGAGCUUUCUCUCCACUCCCGAGGGCAAAUUUGGGGUAGACGCUCUUGGCAGUUGGCAAACAUUAGCUUCAUGAGCUACACAGUAAGAGAGGGACAAACAGAAGCCCUCGGAACGGCCUACCUUCCUCUCAACACAACCCUGAACAAAACAAUCAUGAGGAAAAUUCCAUUCUGGGGAAACUGAAGGCAGCCAGGCUAAGUGGUGUUUAUAGGCUCGCUGGAGGCCACACCGGGGGACAAAUCUCUUCUGGAACCUUCUGAAAACCCAGCAGGCCAGUGAUGUGUGCAGUGGAUGACUGAGCUGUUUCGUUGUGAAAAAUACCAUGAAAGAAUUAUUAGUACGACCGUGGCCACCAUGGAAAGUGACGCCGAGGGCAUCAUGCACCGGCAGUCACCACGCCAUUUGUCACUGCGGCGGUGACACUGGCUGGCUUAGGAACACCCACCUUUUAUUGUUCCAGCAGAUAUGGAGACCAAGUUCAAUGAUUUUCAGAGACACAGUUCUACCCACUGGUAUGUUUACUAGAGGGCCCUUAAGGUUAAUAAACAAUAAAGAAGGAUAAUAAUUAACAGGAGAAUGUGCCUGUUGAAAGCAAAUUUGCAGAAUAAAACAUUAAUCCUGCCAAAUGUACAACUGAAAUUAAAAUGUUUUAAAGCCUAAGUGAAAGGCAUGUCCCUGACCCAGUUUUUUUUUU